UCCUCAAUAGCUCAAUGAUAGAGCGAUCGAUCGUUAACCUAUUCGUUAUAGGUUCGAAUCCUAUUUGGGGAG
rfam:Vitis vinifera, whole genome shotgun sequence of line PN40024, unoriented chromosome 13, chr13